rnacentral:rRNA from 1 species
UACGUAGGGGGCAAGCGUUGUCCGGAAUCAUUGGGCGUAAAGAGCGCGUAGGCGGCCCGGUAAGUCCGCUGUGAAAGUCAAGGGCUCAACCCUUGAAUGCCGGUGGAUACUGUCGGGCUAGAGUCCGGAAGAGGCGAGUGGAAUUCCUGGUGUAGCGGUGAAAUGCGCAGAUAUCAGGAGGAACACCGAUGGCGAAGGCAGGUCUCUGGGCCACUACUGACGCUGAGAAGCGAAAGCAUGGGGAGCGAACAGG